GAAAAGCUCUACACCAUGGGUUUUCAGACUGUUCCCUAUGCUCCCCAGCAUUGCACAUUUUAGAUGUCUACUUUAUUUAACAUAACUAAAUGAACUCAUAUGCUGUACACUACUCCAUUAACUGAGCUGGCUGUGUCCAAUAAGGGUGACAUUCAAUAUUUCGAGGAGACUUCAGGAAUAGUUUGACUGCACAACACUAAUAAUAAUGACAAUAAAUGAUUCUUUAUUUUUUACAGCCCUGUCAACUAAAGAAGCAAAAGAGUCAAAGAGGUGUAUUGUCAUCACAGAUUCAUCUGAUGAGGACCAUGUGCGACCAGAAAGAAAAAGUACAGAAAGGGAAGCAAGAAUACCAAGAGAGACAAAUCACCUUUGAGUUCCUUCCAGCCCUCAUCUUCCUCUGAUUCUUACUCUUCUUCAUCACCCCACAAGACCAAGAAGAACAAGAAGGGAAAGAAAACACAGAAAAUUGCAAAAAGCAGAAGAGAGCAAAUAAUAGGAAGAUACAAAAAGGUCCUGAGGUACCUGUCAAAAGGAUCAACCAAAACAGAGGAUUACCACAAGUGCAGCGCGGACAGGAAAACAAUUGUGGAUAUGUGUGCCUUUGCUGAAUUAGAGGCCUGUGACAUCACAGUGUACAACAAAUUGCGUGCUACGUUACAAAAAAAGGCAGAAGCUGUCCAACUUAGCAGAACGUUGCCGACAAUUUUGCACACAUGAAUCAGUGUGCACUGCCAUAAAGGAAAAAAAGAGAAAUGGAGACAUUUCACAAAACAAAUAAAUAACAUUACCAGUGGCUGUAUGUUUAGCGAUCAUGUUUAGCUUAGUUUUUCAUCAGUCUCUUGAAUGUUUUGAAAGUGGUUUUAUUCCAAAAUGCAGAAUGUGGCUAGGUUUCAUCACUGUGCCAAAUUUAAUUUAAAAGUUUAAUUAAAAGAUUUCAAAACAUCAAAUUUAAAUUUUUGGGUGAACAAUCCCUUUACAUCAGAAAAUUAUUUUGGUGAAUUAUAAUAAUUAAAGAAAAAAAUCUACUGUAGUAAAUCAUUCUUAUUACGGGGGUACCUCCUAAAAGUUUGUAUUUUAAUAAAGGCUACUACAUGGGCAAUUUCGACAUUUUUGAACUGUGAGAUGGUCCCUUCUCAGAAACAUUCUCAGAUAUAAAUAUACA
rnacentral:lncRNA from 1 species